UCCUUUUAAAAUAGUCUCCUCCUUGAAAAACAUGAGACGAGGCCUUGUCUGAAAAACCAGCUUUACUCUUACACUGUUAUUUCAUCUCUUCCCUAUCGAAUUCCAACCCUUCUUUUCCUCUUUACGCAUACAAGAACAAAUUUUCAAGGCUCCUCAACCCUCUCUGUUCUACCCUCCUCCUCUUCUUCUUCUUAUUGUACGAACUGAAAUUAGGGUUUUAUUUCUAUUAUCGUUGUACAAUUUAGAAUUGUUUUUGUUUUUGUUUCAGUUUUAUAGUAUUUCCUGCUUAUUUCAAUUGUUCUGAUUUGAUGUAAAUAAUACAAUAACAGCGAAGCUAUUUUCAUCUUGUAAUCUAGUUUAUACAUCUUUGUCGCCCAAUUGUAUGUAAGUUAGGGUUCGGAUUGGGAGUUUAUUUUUGUUUAGUUUUUGGGCGUUUGAUUUGGCUGGCAUGGAGAACUCGCGUAGACCGUUCGAUAGAUCGCGAGAGCCUGGACCGAAGAAGCCCAGAUUGAUGGAAGAGCUGGAUCGGGCUCCGAAUUCUGGUGCGAGACAGUUUCCUCAACUACAAGUGAUUUCUGGGGUUUCGACGUUACCGUCUGCAAGGUUUAGAACAACCGAAAGAGACGUUGAAAGCAAUGAUUUUGGUCGCCGGGGUGGUGCUGGAGGUGGCGGUUAUCAGCCCCAGCCACUGCCAUUUCAGGAGCUUGUUACUCAGUAUAAGGCAGCUCUUGCAGAACUUACUUUCAACUCGAAACCGAUAAUUACCAACUUGACUAUCAUUGCAGGGGAGAACCAAGCUGCAGAGAAGGCCAUUGCAGCAACUGUUUGUGCUAACAUUUUAGAGGUUCCUAGUGAUCAAAAGCUGCCAUCACUUUAUCUCUUAGACAGUAUUGUUAAGAAUAUUGGGCGGGAUUAUAUAAAAUACUUCGCUGCCAGGCUACCUGAGGUAUUCUGCAAAGCAUACAGACAGGUUGAUCCUUCUGUCCAUCAAAGUAUGAGGCAUCUUUUUGGAACUUGGAAAGGAGUCUUUCCUCCUCAGACCCUUCAGAUUAUUGAGAAAGAACUGGGCUUCACUUCUGCAGUCAAUGGCUCGUCUGCUUCUUCUACUCUCAGGAGUGAUUCACAGUCACAACGUCCACCUCAUAGUAUUCAUGUUAAUCCCAAGUAUUUAGAAAGACAACGUCUACAGCAGUCCAGCAGGACUAAAGGAGUUGAUGAUAUGACUGGAGCAAUUUCAAACUCAAAUGAUGACCAAGAGAUGCCUGGUAGAACUUUAGGUGUUUUACGAUCAUGGGUGGAUCAUAAUGUUACUGUUAGCGUCCAUUCACGUGAAAAUGAUCAACGUGCUCGAAGAGAUGCAUUCAAUGAUUCUGUUCCAGAAAAGAGCACUGGUGCAUCCUAUGGAAGCAAUGAACUUGGUUCCAAUAUUUCAAGGAAUUUAGGCUUGGGUAUCAGCCGACCUGGUGGUAGGGUGACCGAGUCAGGACAUGACAAAGGUUGGUACAACAAAUCUGGUGUUGUUGCAGGGACCAUGCCUGGGCAAAGAAAUGGUUUGAGUAACAAGUAUAGUUUUUCAAGUACUGAAGCAUCAAAGUCCAUGGUUUUGGAUGCACAUCAUCAACCGGCACAUAAUAUAACUAGCACACAGAGCAGUGUGAUCUCAAAUAGCUGGAAAAAUUCCGAGGAAGAGGAGUACACAUGGGAUGAGAUGAACUCUGGCUUGACUGGUCACAGUACAUCUAUUGUUAGCAGCUUGAGCAAAGAUACUUGGACUGCUGAUGAUGAGAAUUUGGAAGUUGAAGAUCGCAUCCAAGUCAAAAAUCCUUUUGUGGUAAAUGCUGAUAGAGAAAUAGUUAUUGAAUCUCAAGCCAAUGAAAAGAAACAAUUUCCUGCAUCUCAACAUCAUUCAUCACUAUCAUGGCAAUUGCAGGAGCAGCAUUCUAUUAAUGAGUUGAAUCGAAAAGCUGGUCACUCCAGCAGAUUUGUGUCCGCACUUGGUGCCAUACCGUCCAAUACAAAUGCCUCUACUGCCAGAAUGGGGAGUCGGCCAUUCCUUUCAAGUGCAACCAUAGGAUUGCCAGGAAUUGCAGGACCCUUUCAUUCUUUGGGAGCUGAAAACCCUUCAGGGCAGUCACCUUUGCAGCGGAGGUCUCCAUCACCACCAGGUCCAUUCUCUUCAAUGACUUUUCAGGCAAGGCAUCAGCAGCAAUUGGGCACUUCUCUUGAGGUUACUGUUAAGACUGAGAAGCCACCUGUGUCCAAGGUUCCUUUAGUCAGAGAAACUAAAAGUAGCAUGAGUACAGGGAAUCUUCCAACUCGAUUAGGUGUUCGGCCUUCACGAACAGGUGGUCCUUCCCCUGCCACAUUAAUUUCUUCAUUGUCCACUAGUGCAUUACCAUCUUCAUUAGGUCCUUCUGGUGAUAAUUCAUCUGCUCUCUCAAAAAUGCCUCAAAGAAAGGCUGGACAACCACCUAGGUUAUCUACUCUACCAUCUACUGCCUCUAAUGUCAGCAGUGCCUCUGCCCAGACAAGUGAUACCAAUCAUAACUUGAAUCCAAUUGCCAACCUUUUAAGCUCUUUAGUUGCAAAAGGCUUGAUAUCUGCAGAAACAGAAUCAACAUCUAAGGAGCCCUCUGAGUUGCUGACUCGACUGGAAGAAGAAAGCGAUAGCAUUACCACCGGUAACUCUUUACCUGUGGCCUCAAUUUCUGGUUCUGCAGCUGUACCAGUCCCUUCAAUCAAAGAUGAGGUUGAUGACACUGCAAGAACGCCCAUAUCCUUGUCUGAAUCAACCAGUCCAGGAGUAGUAAAUGUCAUUGGCUUUGAGUUUAAGCAUGAUGUAUUACGAGAAUUCCAUUCAUCUGUAAUUAGUGGAUUAUUUGAUGAUCUUCCACAUCAUUGCAGCAUUUGUGGCUUUAGACUUAGAUUCCAAAAACAGUUCAAUAGACACUUGGAGUGGCAUGCCACAAGGGAUAGAGAAGAGAAUGGUUUAACUAAGGCAGUGAGAUGGUAUCUUAAGUCAAGUGACUGGAUUGUUGGCAAGGCUGAAUAUGUAUCAGAGAAUGAUGCUGAUUCUGUAGAUACUUAUGGCAAUGAAGCAGACAGAAGUCAAGAGGAUGCUAUGGUUGUAGCAGAUGAAAACCAAUGCUUGUGUGUGUUGUGCGGUGAGCUAUUUGAAGAUUUUUACUGUGAGGAAAGUGGGGAAUGGAUGUUCAAAGGAGCUGUUUACUUUGCUAACUCUAAUAGCAACAGUGAGAUGGGAACUGGAGAUAUGAGUACUGGAAGGGGUCCCAUCAUUCAUGCAAAUUGCUUAUCAGAUAACUUGAUUUCAAGUGUCCAUGAGAUGGACAGGAUUAAAUCAAGUUAACAUUGGAGCUCUGUUGUAACAAGAACUUUGUAGGUGAGGGAACUAAGGUUUACUUUGAAUUAAUCAAAUCUUAUGGCUUUUAAUGCUAAAUUGUUUUCUAAUUGGUUUCAAGAGUUGUCAAACGAAUUUUGUGCACUUCAUUUUUCUUUUGUUUUCUUUAGUUUCUUUUGCACUCAGGAAGGAAGAGGAUAUUCCUUAGUGUUCAGAGUAUGUAAAGUGCGUUAGCUUUUCCACCUCAACUUUUGCUUAUUGAUGUGGUUGGUUGCAUUACUUCAUUUUGGUUAUUGAAGUGGGUUUUUGCCUUUUAAACAACAUCUGGUUGUAAUAUGGGGCAAAGCACUGUGGUCGUUGUAGUUAUCCCAAAUGUUGGAUGGCAUUCUCUGUAUCAUAUGAAUUCUAACUAUUCUGAUUACCUUUUAUGUGUUUUCCUUGCACACUGUCCUUCGCAAGGGGUUUCGGAAUUGCAGUGUUACUUUCUACCGGGACAUUGCUUUCCUAAUGUUAUAAAUUUCAUUUCUAAGAACAAUAGCGAAUGUUGAUUUGUAUUUUUCUUGGAGAGUACUGACUGAGUUUUUCAUUUUUUUGGCUUUGAAUAAAGAUGAAAGAUGUACAUUUCCUAUUCAGAUGCGGAGCCUUUAUUGUUUAUUCUGCUAGACACAACUUGAAUCCCGGAAAAAACAGAAGACGGUUUUAUUGGUUUUAUAUUAGGGACUCGUACUUAAUACUCUGCCUUUGAACCAAAGUUCAAGUCCAAUUGAUUCAAGGCUUGUGGCGUUGCGUGUAGAUGUAAUCCAAGUGCGCCUCCACCAUCAUCCUUCUGCUAUUGCACCCUUCAUCAUUCUCAAAGCACUCCUCCGAACCCAUUAACUGUAUGAAAUAACAUCCAAUUAGAGAAACAUUUCCUGUUUUCAAUCUCUGUAAAAACUCUGUACAAAACAGUGAACAGAAAGUGAAAACAGAAGACAUAAUUGUUUUCA